rnacentral:rRNA from 1 species
GGACCCGCACAAGCGGUGGAGCAUGCUCUUUAAUUGGCUGAUAACCCAAGAACCUUACCAGGGCUUGACAUGCAUGAAGUAGUGAACCGAAAGGGGAACGACCGGUAUCCAAUCCGGAGCUUGCACAGGUGUUGCAUGGCUGUCGUCAGUUCGUACCGUGAGGCGUACCCUUAAGUGGGUCAACGAACAUAACCCCUACUGUCAGUUGUAUCACUCUGACGGAACUGCCUCGGCAACGAGGAGGAAGGUGGGGAUGAAGUCAAGUCAGUAUUGCCCUUACGCUCUGGGCUAGAAGCAUGCUACAAUGGCCGGCACAGCGAGAAGCGAAACCGCGAGGUGGAGCUAAUCUUUUAAAACCGGUCUCAGUUCGGAUUGGAGUCUGCAAUUCGACUCCAUGAAGUUGGAAUCGCUAGUAAUCGGCGGUCAGCUAUACGCCGGUGAAUACGUUCUCGGGUCUU